rnacentral:rRNA from 1 species
GGGUUGUGAGGUUAAGCGACUAAGCGUACACGGUGGAUGCCCUGGCAGUCAGAGGCGAUGAAGGACGUGCUAAUCUGCGAUAAGCGUCGGUAAGGUGAUAUGAACCGUUAUAACCGGCGAUUUCCGAAUGGGGAAACCCAGUGUGAUUCGUCACACUAUCAUUAACUGAAUCCAUAGGUUAAUGAGGCGAACCGGGGGAACUGAAACAUCUAAGUACCCCGAGGAAAAGAAAUCAACCGAGAUUCCCCCAGUAGCGGCGAGCGAACGGGGAGGAGCCCAGAGCCUGAAUCAGUAUGUGUGUUAGUGGAAGCGUCUGGAAAGGCGCGCGAUACAGGGUGACAGCCCCGUACACAAAAAUGCACAUGCUGUGAGCUCGAUGAGUAGGGCGGGACACGUGGUAUCCUGUCUGAAUAUGGGGGGACCAUCCUCCAAGGCUAAAUACUCCUGACUGACCGAUAGUGAACCAGUACCGUGAGGGAAAGGCGAAAAGAACCCCGGCGAGGGGAGUGAAAAAGAACCUGAAACCGUGUACGUACAAGCAGUGGGAGCACGCUUAGGCGUGUGACUGCGUACCUUUUGUAUAAUGGGUCAGCGACUUAUAUUCUGUAGCAAGGUUAACCGAAUAGGGGAGCCGAAGGGAAACCGAGUCUUAACUGGGCGUUAAGUUGCAGGGUAUAGACCCGAAACCCGGUGAUCUAGCCAUGGGCAGGUUGAAGGUUGGGUAACACUAACUGGAGGACCGAACCGACUAAUGUUGAAAAAUUAGCGGAUGACUUGUGGCUGGGGGUGAAAGGCCAAUCAAACCGGGAGAUAGCUGGUUCUCCCCGAAAGCUAUUUAGGUAGCGCCUCGUGAAUUCAUCUCCGGGGGUAGAGCACUGUUUCGGCAAGGGGGUCAUCCCGACUUACCAACCCGAUGCAAACUGCGAAUACCGGAGAAUGUUAUCACGGGAGACACACGGCGGGUGCUAACGUCCGUCGUGAAGAGGGAAACAACCCAGACCGCCAGCUAAGGUCCCAAAGUCAUGGUUAAGUGGGAAACGAUGUGGGAAGGCCCAGACAGCCAGGAUGUUGGCUUAGAAGCAGCCAUCAUUUAAAGAAAGCGUAAUAGCUCACUGGUCGAGUCGGCCUGCGCGGAAGAUGUAACGGGGCUAAACCAUGCACCGAAGCUGCGGCAGCGACGCUUAUGCGUUGUUGGGUAGGGGAGCGUUCUGUAAGCCUGUGAAGGUGUGCUGUGAGGCAUGCUGGAGGUAUCAGAAGUGCGAAUGCUGACAUAAGUAACGAUAAAGCGGGUGAAAAGCCCGCUCGCCGGAAGACCAAGGGUUCCUGUCCAACGUUAAUCGGGGCAGGGUGAGUCGACCCCUAAGGCGAGGCCGAAAGGCGUAGUCGAUGGGAAACAGGUUAAUAUUCCUGUACUUGGUGUUACUGCGAAGGGGGGACGGAGAAGGCUAUGUUGGCCGGGCGACGGUUGUCCCGGUUUAAGCGUGUAGGCUGGUUUUCCAGGCAAAUCCGGAAAAUCAAGGCUGAGGCGUGAUGACGAGGCACUACGGUGCUGAAGCAACAAAUGCCCUGCUUCCAGGAAAAGCCUCUAAGCAUCAGGUAACAUCAAAUCGUACCCCAAACCGACACAGGUGGUCAGGUAGAGAAUACCAAGGCGCUUGAGAGAACUCGGGUGAAGGAACUAGGCAAAAUGGUGCCGUAACUUCGGGAGAAGGCACGCUGAUAUGUAGGUGAAGCGACUUGCUCGUGGAGCUGAAAUCAGUCGAAGAUACCAGCUGGCUGCAACUGUUUAUUAAAAACACAGCACUGUGCAAACACGAAAGUGGACGUAUACGGUGUGACGCCUGCCCGGUGCCGGAAGGUUAAUUGAUGGGGUCAGCGCAAGCGAAGCUCUUGAUCGAAGCCCCGGUAAACGGCGGCCGUAACUAUAACGGUCCUAAGGUAGCGAAAUUCCUUGUCGGGUAAGUUCCGACCUGCACGAAUGGCGUAAUGAUGGCCAGGCUGUCUCCACCCGAGACUCAGUGAAAUUGAACUCGCUGUGAAGAUGCAGUGUACCCGCGGCAAGACGGAAAGACCCCGUGAACCUUUACUAUAGCUUGACACUGAACAUUGAGCCUUGAUGUGUAGGAUAGGUGGGAGGCUUUGAAGUGUGGACGCCAGUCUGCAUGGAGCCGACCUUGAAAUACCACCCUUUAAUGUUUGAUGUUCUAACGUUGACCCGUAAUCCGGGUUGCGGACAGUGUCUGGUGGGUAGUUUGACUGGGGCGGUCUCCUCCUAAAGAGUAACGGAGGAGCACGAAGGUUGGCUAAUCCUGGUCGGACAUCAGGAGGUUAGUGCAAUGGCAUAAGCCAGCUUGACUGCGAGCGUGACGGCGCGAGCAGGUGCGAAAGCAGGUCAUAGUGAUCCGGUGGUUCUGAAUGGAAGGGCCAUCGCUCAACGGAUAAAAGGUACUCCGGGGAUAACAGGCUGAUACCGCCCAAGAGUUCAUAUCGACGGCGGUGUUUGGCACCUCGAUGUCGGCUCAUCACAUCCUGGGGCUGAAGUAGGUCCCAAGGGUAUGGCUGUUCGCCAUUUAAAGUGGUACGCGAGCUGGGUUUAGAACGUCGUGAGACAGUUCGGUCCCUAUCUGCCGUGGGCGCUGGAGAACUGAGGGGGGCUGCUCCUAGUACGAGAGGACCGGAGUGGACGCAUCACUGGUGUUCGGGUUGUCAUGCCAAUGGCACUGCCCGGUAGCUAAAUGCGGAAGAGAUAAGUGCUGAAAGCAUCUAAGCACGAAACUUGCCCCGAGAUGAGUUCUCCCUGACUCCUUGAGAGUCCUGAAGGAACGUUGAAGACGACGACGUUGAUAGGCCGGGUGUGUAAGCGCAGCGAUGCGUUGAGCUAACCGGUACUAAUGAACCGUGAGGCUUAACCUUACAACGCCGAAGGUGUUU